rnacentral:rRNA from 1 species
UACGAAGGGGCUAGCGUUGCUCGGAAUCACUGGCGUAAAGCGCACGUAGGCGGAUUGUUAAGUCAGGGGUGAAAUCCUGGAGCUCAACUCCAGAACUGCCUUGAUACUGGCGAUCUUGAGUCCGGAAGAGGUGAGUGGAACUCCGAGUGUAGAGGUGAAAUUCGUAGAUAUUCGGAAGAACACCAGUGGCGAAGGCGGCUCACUGGCCCGGUACUGACGCUGAGGUGCGAAAGCGUGGGGAGCAAACAGGG